UCUGCAUCUACUGCACGGACAACGCUCUGCGCUCCUGGAGUCAAUCCGACGGGCACGUCUCAGACAGCUGAAGGGUCCUCGUAACAAAUCCCCAGUAUCAGCACACACGUGUCUGCAGUGUCACAUGGUGUACAGAGACUGCGAUGCUCUGCUCACACACCGCAUGAGACACAUUGAAGGCAAACACUGGCCCUGCCCGUUGUGCAGUAAGACUUUCUUCAGGCAAAAAAACGUCAGGAAUCAUAUUCGGACACACGAUCCUAAACUCUACAAAUGCCGACAAUGUGUCGCUGCUUCCUGAGGUGAUUUGGAUUCUGGGUGGAACAGUGGAG